GUAAUUUUGCACAAGCAGAGCUGCUUUCUUACGGCCUCUGUUGCCCCCGCAGGUCGGCGAGCCGCAGCGGGAACCCAGCAGCCUCGGCCCUCGCUGUCCCUCGGUUCGGAGCCCUGUCCUCGCCGCGGGCCUGCUCGGCCUCCGCCUGCCGCGGCUCCCCGGGGCCUGACUCGGAUGCCAUGGCAUUUUAUGUUCACAGCCACCCAUCACCCUUUGAACUUCCUUGGCACCCAUCCCUCUAGAAGGCGAGUGUUGUCUUCAGGCUCUCACCGGUGGGUAAGCUGAAGCACGCCGGGAUUAAGUAACUUCUCCAGUGCUAGAUCCUUCAGCUACAGGGCGUAAAACCCUAAAGUGGAUAUCACAAUUCCCAGUUGCCACCAAAGCUGCCUGCAACAAUGUCCUUCGAUUUCGUAAACCAUGGCACGUGUUAGCAGCACGUAAACAAACACCCUUAGCGCCAAGUCAGUUCUGCUUCGUCGUUGGCACAGUUUUUCACUAAAACCAUGUCAUCGUAUGAUGAUAACAUCAAAGGAAAAUCUGGAUACGGAGCUGUAUGCCUUCCCUUUACACGACGGGGUACGUCGGUGACCCCGUGCAGUACCCUUUGUUCUUCCCUCUGUUGACAUCACCACUGACAGUCAGAAAAGCCGCCCUUCCAGAAGCCAGGUGCGCUCUGUAACAGCCUCGUCUAGGGAUUAGCACAGCUACAAUUUCACUUUCCUUGAGCUAUUUCUAUUUCUCUAUCUUGGUGUUUCUUCCCGUUUCUUUUUAUUUCCCCCUUCCCAUUUCUCUACACACAGAGAGAGACACACAAACUGGCUUCUCUCAAAGCGAGCAGCAAAGCAGAGACAUAACUUCAGUGUGCAGCCAGUGGUUUUUCCCCCUUUGCCCCUGGUUGUUAAUAAACAUCUUUAAGCUGCCUGUGGGCCUGAAAUU
rnacentral:lncRNA from 12 species